CCCCCGCGAUGCUUUAGAGAUAAAGCGGAGGUAUUCGGGGAGACAGGUGGUGCAUGGUUGUCGUCAGCUCGUGUCGUGAGAUGUUGGGUUAAGUCCCGCAACGAGCGCAACCCCUAUUGCUAGUUACCAUCAUUAAGUUGGGGACUCUAGCGAGACUGCCAGUGAUAAACUGGAGGAAGGUGGGGAUGACGUCAAAUCAUCAUGCCCCUUAUGACCUGGGCUACAAACGUGAUACAAUGGCUGGAACAAAGGGAUGCGAAGCAGUGAUGUGGAGCGAAACCCAUAAAAACAGUCUCAGUUCGGAUUGAAGUCUGCAACUCGACUUCAUGAAGUCGGAAUCGCUAGUAAUCGCGGAUCAGAACGCCGCGGUGAAUACGUUCUCGGGGUUU
rnacentral:rRNA from 1 species